rnacentral:rRNA from 1 species
CAAAGCUACUACGGGCGCGCGGUGGAUGCCUAGGCGCUGGAAGCCGAUGAAGGACGCGGCGAGACUGCGAUAAGCCUCGGUUAGCUGUCUAGCAAGCUUAGCCGGGGAUUUCCGAAUGGGGGAACCCGCCUCGAUGAAUAAUCGGGGCACUCCGACUCGAGUCGGAGAGGGAACCGGGGGAACUGAAACAUCUAAGUACCCCGAGGAAAAGAGAUUAUUCCCUUAGUAGCGGCGAGCGAACGGGGAUCAGCUCAAACCGUCAGGGAAGGUAACGGCCCACGGGCCAAUGCCCUGGCGGGGUUGUAAGACACGGACGGGGAGCGCUGUGGAGCUCCCGGGAAGUUACCAAGCUCAGUCCCAGCAGAAGUACCCUGGAAAGGGACGCCGUAGAGAGUGAAAGCCUCGUAUGUGAAGGGGCAUGGGCCUUCCUGGUUUGUGUUCUUGAGUACCACGGGACACGUGGAAUCCCGUGGGAAGCCGGGGGGACCACCCUCCAAAGCUAAACACUUCCAGCGACCGAUAGUGCAGCAGUACCGUGAGGGAAAUGGUGAAAAAGUACCCCGGAAGGGGAGUUAAAAGUUCCUGAAACCGCGUGCCUACAAACCGUCGGAGCUCCGAUUCGUCGGGGUGACGGCGUGCCUAUUGGAGAAUGAGCCGGCGAGUAAAUCUCAGUGGCAUGGUUAAGCAAGGAGACUUGCGGAGCCGUAGCGAAAGCGAGUCCUAAUAGGGCGUCUCCUUCGGGAGCGUCGCUGGGAUUUGACCCGAAACCUGGUGAGCUACCCAUGGCCAGGGUGAAGCCUCGAUAAUAUCGAGGUGGAGGCCCGAACCAUUUGACGGUGCAAAGUCUCUGGAUGAGUUGUGGGUAGAGGUGAAAUGCCAAUCGAACCAGGAGAUAGCUGGUUCUCCCCGAAAUGCAUUGAGGUGCAGCCUCAGGAAACGUCUCUUGGAGGUAGGGCACUGGAUGGGCUAGGGGGCACAACGCUUACCAAACCCAACCAAACCACGAAUGCCAAGAGAUAAGCCUGGGAGUGAGCCCGUGGGGGAUAAACUUCACGGACAAAAGGGAAACAACCCAGACCACCGGCUAAGGUCCCCAAGUGUGUGCUAAGUGGGAAAGGAUGUGGGAUAGCCCAGACAGCCAGGAGGUUGGCUUAGAAGCAGCCAUCCUUGAAAGAGUGCGUAACAGCUCACUGGUCGAUGCCAUCCCGCGCCGAAAAUGUAACGGGGCUCAAGCCCAUCACCGAAGCCGUGGUCCCGGAUGAUUCGUCAUCCGGGAGGUAGGGGAGCGUUCCGUUCAGCGUUGAAGCCCGGCCGUGAGGCCUGGUGGAGCGGACGGAAGUGAGAAUGCCGGCACGAGUAGCACAAGGCGAGUGAGAAUCUCGCCCACCGAAUGCCUAAGGUUUCCUACGGAAGGAUCGUCCGCGUAGGGUUAGGCGGGCCUAAGGCUAAGACGUAAAGUCGAUGCCGAUGGACAGCCGGUUAUUAUUCCGGCCCCAUCUCCACUGACGUUAUGAGACGGCGGGAGGACCCAGGAGGGUAGGCUGAGCGGGCCCAUUGGACAUGGUCCGUCCUUGAUCCGUAGGCGUCUGGGAAGAGGCAAAUCCCUUCCCAGGUUAAGCUGAGGGAUUGAGGGGAGCGGCGACUUCGGUCAAGGCGACUCAGCUAAUCCCACGCUGGCAAGAAAAGUCUCGUCGUCCAGUCAUGGGGAUGUCCGUACCGCAAUCCAACACAGGUAGGCAAGGGUAAGCGCCCUCAGGUGGUCGAGUGACCCCCCGUCAAGGAACUCGGCAAAUUAGCCCCGUAACUUCGGAAGAAGGGGUACCCCUGUCUGUGAUCGGGCUUGCCCCGGGAGCGGACGGGGGUCGCAGCGAAGCGGCCCAAACGACUGUUUAACAAAAACACAGGUCUCUGCCAAAGCGAAAGCUGAGGUAUAGGGGCUGACACCUGCCCGGUGCCGGAAGGUUAAGGGGAGGGCUGAUAAGGCUCAAACCGAAGCCCCGGUGAACGGCGGCCGUAACUAUAACGGUCCUAAGGUAGCGAAAUUCCUUGUCGGGUAAGUUCCGACCCGCACGAAAGGUGUCACGAGUUGGGCACUGUCUCGACGGGGGGCUCGGCGAAAAUGCAGGACCCGUGAAGAUGCGGGUUACCCGCUGCAGGACAAAAAGACCCCGUGGAGCUUUACUGCAACUUGGUGUUGAAGGCGGGCCAGGGAUGCGUAGGAUAGGUGGGAGGCUGUGAAACCCCAACUCCGGUUGGGGCGGAGCCGCCCUUGAAAUACCACUCUUCCUUAGUCUACCUCCUAACCCCCGAUAGAUCGGGGAGACAGCGCCUGGUGGGCAGUUUGACUGGGGCGGUCGCCUCCCAAAAGGUAACGGAGGCGCCCAAAGGUCCCCUCAGGCUGGAUGGAAAUCAGCCGUCGAGCGUAUUGGUAUAAGGGGGCUUGACUGUGAGGCCUACAAGCCGAGCAGGGGCGAAAGCCGGGCAAAGUGAUCCUACGGUUCCGUGUGGAAGGGCCGUGGCUUAACGGAUAAAA